UGCGUAGGCGGGUCUUUAAGUCAGGGGUGAAAUCCUGGAGCUCAACUCCAGAACUGCCUUUGAUACUGAGGAUCUUGAGUUCGGGAGGGGUGAGUGGAACUGCGAGUGUAGAGGUGAAAUUCGUAGAUAUUCGCAAGAACACCAGUGGCGAAGGCGGCUCACUGGCCCGAUACUGACGCUGAGGCACGAAAGCUGGGGAGCAAACA
rnacentral:rRNA from 1 species